AGCAAAAGAAAACAGUCAAAGGAGACCAAGUCAUUCAGCAAAGUCAAGGACUUUUAGUUCCAUCUCAAGGGCUAUAAACACUAUUCCGAGCCACAUGCUAUGAGCUAUCUUGGAGAUACUGAGUCUCCCACCAGGUGGAAGAAAUAAACUACAUCCCGACCAGACUGCAGCUCAAGGAAAUGGAGCCGCAGGACGCCUUUGCAGGAUGCAGGAUGGAGAGCUUCAUCUGCAUUGGAAACAUGUUUUCAGAUUUCAGACGAAGAUUUCGGAUUCGCCCGUCGAGAACCAGAGUGCUGCCUGGAGUCAGAGAGACAGACGGUGGAGAGGACCAGCACACACCUUCCACCAUCCAUGACUCUCUAAGCUGCACCCAGGGAGCCAAGAGGC